rnacentral:rRNA from 1 species
GACGUAGGGCGCAAGCGUUUGUCCGGAUUUAUUGGGCGUAAAGAGCUCGUAGGCGGCUCGUCGCGUCGACCGUGAAACCCGCGGCUUAACUGCGGGCUUGCGGUUGAUACGGGCGGGCUAGAGUUCGGUAGGGGAGACUGGAAUUCCUGGUGUAGCGGUGAAAUGCGCAGAUAUCAGGAGGAACACCGGUGGCGAAGGCAGGCUCGCUGGGACGUAUGACGCUGAGACGACGAAGCGUGGGGAGCAAACAGG